rnacentral:rRNA from 1 species
CAAUGGGCGAAAGCCUGACGGUGCGACGCCGCGUGGAGGAUGAAGGCCCUAGGGUCGUAAACUCCUGUCAUCGGUGAGUAAGGCGGGCUGGUUAAUAGCCGGUUCCGUUGAUAGUAGCCGAAGAGGAAGGGACGGCUAACUUCGUGCCAGCAGCCGCGGUAAUACGAAGGUCCCAAGCGUUGUUCGGAAUCACUGGGCGUAAAGCGUGCGUAGGCGGCGAGGUAAGUCAGAUGUGAAAUCCCGGGGCUCAACCCCGGAACUGCAUCCGAUACUGCCUUGCUAGAGUAAUGGAGGGGCAUCUGGAAUUCACGGUGUAGCAGUGAAAUGCGUGGAUAUCGUGAGGAACACUAGUGGCGAAGGCGAGAUGCUGGACAUUUACUGACGCUGAGGUACGAAGGCCAGGGGAGCGAACGGGAUUAGAUACCCCGGUAGUCCUGGCAGUAAACGGUGCUCGCUUGGUGUGGGGGGAUUCGACCCCCUCCGUGCCGAUGCUAACGCGUUAAGCGAGCCGCCUGGGGAGUACGGCCGCAAGGUUAAAACUCAAAGAGAUUGACGGGGACCCGCACAAGCGGUGGAGUAUGUGGCUUAAUUCGAUGCAACGCGAAGAACCUUACCUAGGCUUGACAUGCGUCUCUAAGCCGUUCGAAAGGCGGUGAGCGGAGCAAUCCGCAAUUCGCACAGGUGCUGCAUGGCUGUCGUCAGCUCGUGUCGUGAGAUGUUUGGUUAAGUCCAGCAACGAGCGCAACCCCUGUGUCCUGUUACCAGCGCGUUAUGGCGGGGACUCUGGACAGACUGCCCAGAUCAACUGGGAGGAAGGUGGGGAUGACGUCAAGUCAGUAUGGCCCUUAUGCCUAGGGCUGCACACGUACUACAAUGCCCAGCACAAUGUGAACCGAUACCGUAAGGUGGAGGAAAUCCUGAAAACUGGGCUCAGUUCGGAUUGGGGGCUGCAACUCGCCCCCAUGAAGUCGGAAUCGCUAGUAAUGGCACAUCAGCUACGGUGCCGUGAAUACGUUCCCGGGUCUUGUACACACCGCCCGUCACA